rnacentral:rRNA from 1 species
GUAGUCCACGCCCUAAACGAUGUCGACUGGUUGUUGGGGGUUUGACACUCUCAGUAACGAAGCUAACGCGUGAAGUCGACCGCCUGGGGAGUACGGCCGCAAGGUUAAAACUCAAAGGAAUUGACGGGGACCCGCACAAGCGGUGGAUUAUGUGGAUUAAUUCGAUGCAACGCGAAAAACCUUACCUACCCUUGACAUGUCCUGAAUCCUGGAGAGAUCCGGGAGUGCCCGAAAGGGAACGGGAACACAGGUGCUGCAUGGCUGUCGUCAGCUCGUGUCGUGAGAUGUUGGGUUAAGUCCCGCAACGAGCGCAACCCUUGUCAUUAGUUGCUACAUUUAGUUGGGCACUCUAAUGAGACUGCCGGUGACAAACCGGA